UACGGGGGGAGCAAGCGUUGUUCGGAUUUACUGGGCGUAAAGGGCGCGUAGGCGGCGCGACAAGUCACUUGUGAAAUCUCCGGGCUUAACUCGGAGCGGCCAAGUGAUACUGUCGUGCUAGAGUGCGGAAGGGGCAACUGGAAUUCCCGGUGUAGUGGUGAAAUGCGUAGAUAUCGGGAGGAACACCAGUGGCGAAGGCGACUACCUGGCCUGUUCUUGACGCUGAGGCGCGAAAGCUGGGGGAGCAAACGGG
rnacentral:rRNA from 1 species